ensembl:snoRNA
GGGGUGUGCUCCGAGCAGGGGGCCUGUUUAUAACACACCGGGCAGGAAUCUGGGGUCAUUGUGGUGAGCGGCACAGAACUUGUGGCCUCCCCAGAGGAAUUCCCUCCAUGA